rnacentral:lncRNA from 1 species
GGGAAACAGCUUCCACCUUGAACACCCCCUAUCGCGAACAACAUGCAGCGCAAACAACCAUCGUUGCGAACAGUCCAUUCAAGGAACCAAUGUCUCAGUUGUCUAUCCUCAUGUAUGAAGGUUUUAUCAAUUUUCUUGUUGCUAAGAUUUGUGCGAAUUUUUGUAGAAAAUGUGGGUUUCUCGAUAUGUUAACUUCUUGUUAUUGUAUCCUAUUUAGAAUAGCCAUGAACAGUCCAUUUAUUUUGGGAAUUCAUGAAUGAUUGAAGAAAGCACAUUUUAAGAUAGUGUCAGACAACAGUGCAAUGUCUUUCUUUUUAAAAAAGGUUGAACCCCAACCUUAAGGGCCCUCACCGACCCUGUCCUGGGCCAUUGUGGAGGAGGUAAAUCGCAGGAUGUGCCUCCCAGGAACCAGGGUGGAGAGCAUAUGAAUAGGCCAAGGCUGUUAACCCAUAUGGUAACUCCCGCUUGCAACAAAGUCAAUUCCACCUUGCGGGGAAUCGAACUCUGCACACUGCCGCGCUGAGCCCUAUCCGUCCUCCCCUUUGCCACUGGGAGAUAUGCCCUGGGGGCGUUUUCUAUCUCAUGUGUUGGUUAGUCACUUUUAAAUGAUUCCUUGCUUGAGUUUGUUCCUUGUAUAGACUUUGCAAUAUCUAGAUCCUUGUCUAUAUUUCAAGCCUUUAAUUAAUGUGUAACUAUGAAAAUAUCUGUCCUAUAGUCCCACAUGGACUAGGCAAUAUUCCAGUUCACCUUAAGUUGAUCAUUGAAAUUGUGUCAAACUUAUACGUUCUUUGCGUGUCGUGGACUAAAUCUUAUACCUAGAAGGUGCUACUAUUAUUCUUUAUCAUUUCUUUCACUUAAUAACUUAUUUUUGAUAAAAUGUUUUCAAGUUUAACGUAUAAAAAUUCAUACGUUUCUAUUGUUAAUUUUCAUUCUGAAAUGCACUUGUCAUGAGUUUGAUAGUUAUUUGGUUGGAGCAUAGUUGGUUGAAAAUUUGCAAGAAAUAAUAUUAAUUCAUAAACUAUGCCAUUUUAAUAUUGUCAUGAUAUUAGUUUAUAUUUUAACCAUCAUUGAAUUCAUGGUUGAAAACUCAAAGUCCGACCUCGAUUAAAUUUCACUCGCACCGGACAAUAUUCAUGGUUCCCCCCCUACUAUUUAGCUAGUUUUUUUCUUUGAGUGCUAAUGGAAAUGUGGGUUUUCAAUAUGUUAAUUAUUAGGUGAUUUGGUUAAUCUUUUUUAGAGUUUUCUAUAGCUUAUUGAUCCAAAGUUUCAGAAAACUAAAAUCUACGCAAAAACUUGAAGGUUUUAGUGGAAACUCGUGAUUACAGCAGAAUGAUGGUAGCUAACUGAAAUCUUUACAUCUUCUUUAGGAAUUCUUAAAACUCUAAGAAGCUCCUGCAAAAUUGCUCUAGAUGAACAAAAAGAAAGUUGGUCCAAUGAUUUGAAAUUAAAUAGUUUAGUAUGUACGUAAAAACAAAUCUGAAAAUGACACCCUCUCGUUUAUGUAAUUCUGAAAAUGUCACCUUACCGUUUAUCUUUUUUUAAAAUGGAUUGUACUAAGUAUCACUUAGCAUUAUUGUAAAAUCUUCAUAAUUGUCCAUUGAUAACAUAGCAUGACCGUUUUAUGUUUUUUAUUAAAGAAAUGGAACGUUCAUUUGAGUAUGUGAUUCACAUUGAAGAUAGAAUUAAAGGCAUGCCUUCACAAAAAUGUUCCCUUCAAAAACUUGACUAUGUUCAGGAAAUGUUAGAUGAUGUUCAUCAAGAAAUGCUGAUGGAAUCUUGUUUCGGAAAACUAUAUUGAAUGAAGCAUAUACCUUUUCAGCACAGCUAGUUCACCAACAUGUAAUGAGAAUGAUUGUAACCAAAAGAAUAAAGUGAGAUCUGGUUUUCAAUUGGUGUUAAGCCAACAUGAUUUUCAUUAUAUGAAUUCUCAUUGAUAAUGGGGUUGAGAGCGAGUGAAGAGCCUUCGUUGGAGUCUCAUAUUGUGACUAAUGAUAGAUUGGUGAAGAAACACUUCAAAAAGUGUAAGAAAGACAUAACGGUGUACAAUUUGAAGCUAUUGAAAGUCACAAAGUCUACAUGGACGACAAGUACAAGAUUGAGCUUCUAUAUAUUUUGAAAACGAUACUAUUGCCCAAAGAAAACUACACAUAAAUAAAUUUAGAACACUUGUCAAUAGUUGAUGAAGAGUUAGAGGUUUUUAAUAGUUAUUCUUGGGAGAGAAAGGCUUUUGGUCGUACAAUAGAUGUAUUCACGAGAGAAUAUAGAUUUUUGGUAAAGUCAUACUUGAUAAAUAAUGAGAAAUAUCCAUAUUCAAUUUAUGGAUUUCCACUCGCCUUGCAAGCUUUUAAAAUUACAAUUUAUUAUUCAUUUUAUUUAAAUUGUAAUAUUUUGAAUCUUAUACAGAUUUGGACUUAUGAAACCAUACCAUCUGUUGGAUGGAAAUAUGCUGACAAUUUAGAGGAGGCUGACCUCCCUAGAAUAUGUCAAUGGAAUUCUUCUGAAAUGCCUAAGUCCAAAGACAUUUGUACAAGUUUGGACAAACCAAAUGUACAGAGAUCUUAAAUGUAUAUUAAAAUAUAUAGUUUACUUUAUGAAAAGCAAG